ACAGUGUCUUACACGUAACAGGUGCUUUAGGAGCUCUGGGAUGAGCAACUUUCUGUAUCCCUGAUGGAAAUGCUUACAGAGUCCAUCCUGCUGUCUGCUUCCUUUUGGGUCAAGUGGUGUCUGUCGGGUAGCUGCACACUGGAUGAUACUUCCUAGAGUGCGUUGGUGUUCUGCUGCCAGGAAAGGUGCCCUGUUGUUUGGAGAUGGGAGAAAACAGCAAGAAAUGAGUUCUAAGGAUUUUGGUGACGUCAAUGCUGCCGGUCUGGGGACAGUACUUGGAGAAGCACUGGAGUACAGCUGACCCUUAACAUGGGUUGGAACUGUGCAGGUCCACCUAUAUCUGGAUUUUCUUCUGCCUCUGCCACUUCUGAGACAGCAAGAUCAACUCCUCCUCUUCUUCCUACUCAACAUAAGGACGACAAGGAUGAUGAUGAUCCAUUUCUACUUAAUGAAUUUUUAGUGGCUACCUGGAGUCCCGUUGCACAAGAUGAAUGGCAGUAGCACAAGAAGACAAAUGGACACGUGAUACCUCUUGAGUCAUCCAUCCUGGUACUUGCAUGCUGUCAUUUAUGUCCACAUUUCAUUGGCCAAGACAAGUUAUAUGGUUAAAACUAACAUUAACAA